rnacentral:rRNA from 1 species
UACGUAGGGUGCAAGCGUUGUCCGGAAUUAUUGGGCGUAAAGAGCUCGUAGGCGGUGUGUCGCGUCGGCCGUGAAAACCUGCAGCUUAACUGCGGGCUUGCGGUCGAUACGGGCAUCACUGGAGUUCGGCAGGGGAGACUGGAAUUCCUGGUGUAGCGGUGAAAUGCGCAGAUAUCCGGAGGAACACCGGUGGCGAAGGCGGCUUCCUGGACCGACACUGACGCUGAGGCGCGAAAGCUAGGGGAGCAAACGGG